UCGCAACGCCACAACGUUGUCACGGGU
rnacentral:sRNA from 1 species